rnacentral:rRNA from 1 species
ACAGNCAGNUAAGCGGGNNAUGGUUGUAAGUCGGGACCGCCGAAAUCCCCGUGCUUAACCUGGGGGCUGCAUUCCAAACUGGAUAUCUAGAGUGCAGGAGAGGAANGCGGAAUUCCUAGUGUAGCGGUGAAAUGCGUAGAGAUUAGGAAGAACACCAGUGGCGAAGGCGGCUUUCUGGACUGUAACUGACGCUGAGGCACGAAAGCGUGGGUAGCAAACAGGAUUAGAUACCCUGGUAGUCCACGCCGUAAACGAUGGAUACUAGGUGUAGGGGGUAUCAACUCCCCCUGUGCCGCAGUUAACACAAUAAGUAUCCCGCCUGGGGAGUACGGUCGCAAGAUUAAAACUCAAAGGAAUUGACGGGGGCCCGCACAAGCAGCGGAGAUUGUGGUUUAAUUCGAAGCAACGCGAAGAACCUUACCUGGACUUGACAUCCCUUGCAUAGCCUAGAGAUAGGUGAAGCCCUUCGGGGCAAGGAGACAGGUGGUGCAUGGUUGUCGUCAGCUCGUGUCGUGAGAUGUUAGGUUAAGUCCUGCAACGAGCGCAACCCCUUGUUAUUAGUUGCUACCAUUUAAGUUGAGCACUCUAAUGAGACUGCCUGGGUAACCAGGAGGAAGGGGGGGAUCACGUCAAAUCAUCAUGCCCCCUUAUGUCCAGGGCUACACACGUGCUACAAUGGCAGGUACAAUAAGAGGCAAGACCGNGAGGGGGAGCAAAACUUAUAAAACCUAUCUCAGUUCCGAUUGUAGGCUGCAACUCGCCUACAUGAAGCUGGAGUUGCUAGUAAUCGCGAAUCAGAAUGUCGGGGUGAAUACGUUUCCCGGGCCUUGUACACACCGCCCGGUCACACCAGGAGAGCUGGCAACCCCCGAAGUCCGUGAGGUAACCCGUAGGUGGCCGCCGGCCGAAGGGGGAAUUAGUGAUUAGGGUGAAGUCUUACCAGGGGAAAAAAGAAAAAUUUUCCCCCCCCCCUGUGUAAAACUCCCAAGGGNNGANAGG